GCGGGGGUGCCCGAGCCAGGUCAAAGGGGGCGGACACCCAAUCCGCUGGCGAAGGCCUGCGUGGGUUCGAAUCCCACCCCCCGCACCA
rnacentral:tRNA from 1 species